CAUUUCUAGCUUGCUAGAAGAUGACGAGCGGCGACGGGUGAGUUAACGCGUAGAAAUCUACCUAGUAGUGGGGGAUAGCCCAGAGAAAUUUGGAUUAAUACCGCAUACGCCCUACGGGGGAAAGCGGGGGAUCUUCGGACCUCGUGCUAUUAGAUGAGUCUGCGUCGGAUUAGCUUGUUGGUGAGGUAAUGGCUCACCAAGGCGACGAUCCGUAGCUGGUCUGAGAGGAUGACCAGCCACACUGGAACUGAGACACGGUCCAGACUCCUACGGGAGGCAGCAGGUGGGGAAUAUUGCACAAUGGGCGCAAGCCUGAUGCAGCCAUGCCGCGUGUGUGAAGAAGGCCUUAGGGUUGUAAAGCACUUUCAGCAGUGAGGAAAGGGGUGUCGUUAAUAGCGCCAUCCUGUGACGUUAACUGCAGAAGAAGGACCGGCUAACUCCGUG
rnacentral:rRNA from 1 species